GGAACAUAGAGAGGAUGCCGCAUCCACAUUCUCUUAUGUUAUAUAUGAUACAAUUCACAAGGAGGAACUAAAAACAUG
rfam:Clostridium sp. CAG:58 genomic scaffold, scf259